AACGAACGCUGGCGGCAGGCUUAACACAUGCAAGUCGAACGCAUGCCUUCGGGCAUGAGUGGCAGACGGGUGAGUAACGCGUGGGAACCUACCCCUUGGUACGGGAUAGCUCCGGGAAACUGGAGAUAAUACCGUAUGUGUCCUGAGGGACAAAGAUUCAUCGCCAAGGGAUGGGCCCGCGUCGGAUUAGCUAGUUGGUGGGGUAACGGCCUACCAAGGCGACGAUCCGUAGCUGGUCUAAGAGGAUGAUCAGCCACAUUGGGACUGAGACACGGCCCAAACUCCUACGGGAGGCAGCAGUGGGGAAUAUUGGACAAUGGGCGCAAGCCUGAUCCAGCCAUGCCGCGUGAGUGAUGAAGGCCCUGGGGUUGUAAAGCUCUUUCACCGGUGACGAUAAUGACGGUAACCGGAGAAGAAGCCCCGGCUAACUUCGUG
rnacentral:rRNA from 1 species